UACGUAGGUGGCAAGCGUUGUCCGGAAUUAUUGGGCGUAAAGAGCUCGUAGGCGGCUCAUUGCGUCGUCGGUGAAAACCCGUGGCUUAACUGCGGGCUUGCCGACGAUACUGGUGGACUAGAGUCCGGAAGAGGCGAGUGGAAUUCCCGGUGUAGCGGUGAAAUGCGCAGAUAUCGGGAGGAACACCAAUGGCGAAGGCAGCUCGCUGGGACGGUACUGACGCUGAGGCACGAAAGUGUGGGGAUCAAACAGG
rnacentral:rRNA from 1 species